GCCGGAGUGGCGGAAUGGCAGACGCGGCAGUCUCAAAAACUGUUGAGGGGUAACCCUCGUGUCGGUUCGAGUCCGACCUUCGGCACCA
rnacentral:tRNA from 1 species